GGUAAUUGAGUUUAUGAAGUUGGUGACGUGUAGAAGACUUUUUGUCACGCGUGGUAUGCAACGGCAUGUCUCCGUGAGGGCGCGGCCACCAAGCGUGAAAUAGAGUGAACGUGCCUCUGUCACAUUAUUGCUUCCAAACCUUAACACCUCUAUAAACGGAAUGAAGUCAAAUUAUAGUACACGGACUGAGUGGUAUAAUUCAAAUAAAGUAUUAAAAGUAUGCAUGUGA
rnacentral:lncRNA from 1 species